ACUCUGCCACUAACCACUGCGCUAAAACCCAAUUUCCAAACUACAUCCUAUCUCUCAAAAUCUCUUAUCUUUACCCAAUUUUGAGGGACGAGAUCGAUUGAUACUCCUAAUUUCAUCGCUACCGUCACCUCAGGUGUGGUUAAAAACCAUGUCCUCCGCCACCAUUACCGCCACCGCCGCCGCCGAACGCCACACCUACUGGUGCCACGAGUGCGAUAUGAGCGUCACUUUGGUUUCCCCUUCUUCUUCUUCUUCAUCAUCAUCAUCUUCUUCUUCCUCUUCCUCUCUUCUUUGCCCUCACUGCCUCACUGACUUCCUCGAACACAUGGAUUUCACCAUACCCACUUCCUCUUCUUCCAUUUCCGACCACCCCAAUUCCUCUUCUUCCCCCACAGAUUCCGAUCCAUCAUCCUUCGUCGUUGUCGACCCACUUCCGAUCACUUCCGAUGACAAUUACCUCCUUAACAGCCCUCAAUUCCUCCGUCUUUUCCAGCACCUUGCAGAUUCGUCCGAGUCUGAUUUCGUCCCAUCUGUCCCUUUCAACCCAUUUACUCCGAUCAAGGCCUCUGUCAUGGCGAUUCCCACUAUUAAAGUCACCUCCGCCUUGCUCGAUGAAGACCCAGUUCUAAUUUGUGCUAUUUGUAAGGAUCAGUUCCUUCUUGAGGUUGAAGCCAAACAGCUCCCUUGUUCUCAUCUUUAUCAUCCAGAUUGCAUUCUUCCUUGGCUUUCUAAUCAUGAUUCUUGCCCGCUUUGCCGUUUUAAGCUUCCUUCCGAUGACCCUUCGGAUCGUGUGAGAUGUAGGACUAGUGCCUUGUUAAGGGCUAGAGAUCUGAUGCAUCAAGAAGAUAGUUAUGGGUUGAGGACUACUUUGGAACUCAUGGCUAGAAGGCAUAGUUCUAUUUCUAGUGAGGGAAUUCAUGUGGAUUCGUUUCAAUCACCCACUCAGUUUGGGGUUGCUAUGAUGAGGAGUGGGGAACAGACUGACAGUGUUGAAACUGUUUCGAGUGUGGCUACUGAUGAUGGGAUCGUAAUUGUCAAUAGCAAUGGUGAUGAAAAUGGGUUUGUGGGAAUGGAUGGACCUAUAACUGAGGAUGCUGGAACUGUAGUUCAGGAUAUUGGAGUUUCUCCUUCGAGUUUUGUUUCUGCAUAAAUUGAGGAUAUGGCACCACGCAGAAGAGAAAGGGUUAGACGAGGUUGGCCUAUUAGAGAAAAAGUUUAAGUUGCAGGACCCUCUAGUGCUGUAAGAUCCUCCACUGCCACAAGAUCCUCUUGUGCCAUAAAUGCAAGGGAAGGUUGCAGGAGGUCAAACUUAGGAUGCACCAGAGGCUUCAUAGUAGCAAGCCCCAUCCAACGCCGAAAGUGAUUUUGUUGCAUUGGCAGCACAAGUAGAGGCAAUUGUUACAACUAUGAUGGUGAGAAUGCACAGUAGAUGGUUGGAACAGCCGUGGCUGAUCAGGUAGCAUAGCAGAUUCAAGUCUGGGUUUAGGACCACCAAGAUUGAUCACUUGAAGCCAAGUACUUGCGGAACUUUAGGAAGUAUAAUCCUCACACAUUUGAUGGAUCAUCGAAGGACCCCAUAAAGGCAGAAUUUUGCUUGUCCUCAAUUGAGCUUAUUUUUCGUUUUUUAAAGUGCCCUUAUGAUAGAAGCUUUAGUGUUCAAUAUUUGUGCUUACAAAACAGUGAUGAGAUCUGGUGGCAGUUCGCAGAGAUAUGAAUUGAUACCAAAGCAGGACCUAUGACUUGAGAACGAUUUAAGGAAUGUUUUUAUGAGCAGUAUUUCUCCGCCAAUACAAGGUAAUAUAGUAGAAUAUAUGGUUGUUAGAUGAAUCUUAGAAAGCAGCUACGCCAAGUAGAUGAUUGAUUGGAAGUGUAAAUUGCUACAGAGAAAGACUCUGCUAUCUUCUUCUUCUUCUUCUCCUUCUUCCUCUUCGGUAACCAUGUCUCAACAUAAUAAGAGAUGAACCUUAUUUACAUUGUUAAUCUUAUCACCUAGCAAUGUUUCCCUUCUCUCUUUUGGUCAUGGUUUGAGUCAAUGAGGCUCUCUCUCUCUCUCUCUCUAUAUAUAUAUAAAGUUCUGCAGUUUCAAUCUAUUGAGAAAUAGAUUCAAGAAUUUUUAAUCCA